CAUACAGGGCCAUGUGGGCGAACGAUUGGGGAUUUUGGUCUUGAUCAUCUCUAAGAAGAACCGCCAGAGAUAUGCAAGUACCUCUUCGAGGGUGCAAGGAGAUGAUUGCAUGGAGCAUCUCAUGGGAUAAUAUAAGAGGCAACAGUGGAGAAGAUGAUG